rnacentral:misc_RNA from 1 species
GAUGAAGAACGUAGCGAAAUGCGAUAAGUAAUGCGAAUUGCAGAAUUCAGUGAAUCAUCGAAUCUUUGAACGCACAUUGCGCCCGCCAGUAUUCUGGCGGGCAUGCCUGUCCGAGCGUCAUUUCAACCCUCGAACCCCUCCGGGGGGUCGGCGUUGGGGAUCGGCACUUACCUGCCGGCCCCGAAAUACAGUGGCGGUCUCGCCGCAGCCUCUCCUGCGCAGUAGUUUGCACACUCGCACCGGGAGCGCGGCGCGUCCACGGCCGUAAAACAACCCAAACUUCUGAAAUGUUGACCUCGGAUCAGGUAGGAAUACCCGCUGAACUUAAGCAUAUCAAUAAGCGGAGGA